UACGUAGGGUGCAAGCGUUGUCCGGAAUUAUUGGGCGUAAAGAGCUCGUAGGCGGCUUGUUGCGUCGGCUGUGAAAUCCCGGGGCUUAACUCCGGGCGUGCAGCCGAUACGGGCAGGCUAGAGUCCGGUAGGGGAGACUGGAAUUCCUGGUGUAGCGGUGAAAUGCGCAGAUAUCAGGAGGAACACCGGUGGCGAAGGCGGCAUCCUGGACCGACAUUGACGCUGAAUACCGAAAGCUAGGGGAGCAAACGGG
rnacentral:rRNA from 1 species